UAAAAAAAAAAAAGACAAGAAUCUUUUACAAGUUUACGCGUGUUCAAAUAAAGUAUCGCAAUUAUAAAUGACGGAUUAUUCGGUUUCGUUGAGAGUUCUCCGUGCCAAACGAAGACAGACAUCGGUCGAUGCGAAGUGGUCGGAUAACGUGGAACCUCGGUUAAUCGAAGGUCGGAUAAGCGAGGUUCUACCGUACAUCAUGUAUGCUGCAUUCGUAAUAUUAUGUGAAAAUUCAACACGCUUCGAAAGCUCAGCGGUACAUAAUAAUUUUCCUAUACUAUCGUUCUUGAUUUUUCAAUGCAGAGAAACAGGAAACCACAGAUAACGAUGUUAUCGCGGCUGUGCGACUCUGGUUUGGGUUCAUUUCUCAUUGUUAGGCCUGAGUUCACGAAACAAUCUCGGAAAAUGUUUUCCCGAGCACCCGUGAGCACAGGACCGAAUUUAGAGAAGAGCGAUGUGAGCCGAAGUCUCUUUUUUAGGGGCCUUUAAAUACGGCCCUGUCGGUGAGCAGGGUUUAUUCGAAUUCUCGGAGUAUCGUUCCUCCACAGCCCUGCGAUCGAUCUCAUAAAGUGAGACGGCAGUGGAAUCGGAUGUAAUAACACGAUGUACAAGGGAUAUUUUCCAGCUGACCCUGAAACGACGGAGUACAGUCACCGCGGUGGGUGUGUGUAUGACGUAUUAGUCACGCGUGUGGUAACCAUGUGACUGACGAUCGGGCAAAGUGCGAAAUAUCGCUUGACGAACCCGCAGGAUUUAUGCAGGCUAUUGAACGAAUACCACAAUAAUUGUUUCCCUCGUCAAUAAAGCUGGUUUCAACGAGUCAUUCUACGACAUUGUUUGAACAAAUUCUCCCAGAGAUAUAUUUUUAAUUGUACUGUAUCAAUCGUUAGAAUAAAUUUAUCUGUAUUUCUUUCUCACCGACGAAAGUAUUCAAUAUUAGUCAGACUACUUUUGCCAUCAAAGAGUAUCUUCAAUUUGUGACAGGAAAAUUUGAAGAAAUAAAUAUUUCUAUUCCCCUACACCCAUAUAAUUGAAAAGGUUUGCAACAUUUUGCGAAAUGGUUCUUCGCUAUCACUUGAUGAUGCCA